CCUACGGGUGGCAGCAGUGAGGAAUAUUGGUCAAUGGACGCAAGUCUGAACCAGCCAUGCCGCGUGCAGGAAGACGGCUCUAUGAGUUGUAAACUGCUUUUGUACGAGGGUAAACGCAGAUACGCGUAUCUGUCUGAAAGUAUCGUACCAAUAAGGAUAGGCUAACUCCGGGCCAGCAGCCGCGGUAAUACGGAGGAUUCAAGCGUUAUCCGGAUUUAGUUGGUUUAAAGGGUGCGUAGGCGGUCGGAUAAGUUAGAGGUGAAAUCCCGAGGCUCAAUUGCGGAAUUGCCUGUGAUACUGUUCGGCGAGAGAGCAGAAGAGGUAGGCGGAAUGUAUGGUGUAGCGGUGAAAUGCUUAGAGAUAAUACAGAACACCGAUUGCGAAGGCAGCUUACCAAGCUACUUCUGACGUUGAGGCACGAAAGCGUGGGGAGCAAACAGGAUUAGAUACCCGAGUAGUC
rnacentral:rRNA from 1 species